AGUGAACGCUGGCGGUAGGCCUAACACAUGCAAGUCGAACGGCAGCACAGGAGAGCUUGCUCUCUGGGUGGCGAGUGGCGGACGGGUGAGGAAUACAUCGGAAUCUACUUUUUCGUGGGGGAUAACGUAGGGAAACUUACGCUAAUACCGCAUACAACCUACGGGUGAAAGCAGGGGACCUUCGGGCCUUGCGCGAUUGAAUGAGCCGAUGUCGGAUUAGCUAGUUGGCGGGGUAAAGGCCCACCAAGGCGACGAUCCGGAGCUGGUCUGAGAGAUGAUCAGCCACACUGGAACUGAGACACGGUCCAGACUCCUACGGGAGGCAGCAGUGGGGAAUAUUGGGCAAUGGGCGCAAGCCUGAUCCAGCCAUACCGCGUGGGUGAAGAAGGCCUUCGGGUUGUAAAGCCCUUUUGUUGGGAAAGAAAUCCAGCUGGCUAAUACCCGGUUGGGAUGACGGUACCCAAAGAAUAAGCACCGGCUAACUUCGUGCCAGCCGCCGCCGUAA
rnacentral:rRNA from 1 species